CAGAUCAAGAUGGAGAAGCAGGGCACGUGCAAUACUAACUCAUGAAUUAAGAGAGAAUCAUAUUCCUUUCUCUUAGUUUCACUGAGUUAGUGUUUCAUGUGCCCCUCUUCCCCAUCAUGACGGC
rnacentral:pre_miRNA from 2 species